rnacentral:rRNA from 1 species
AGGAAUACAUCGGAAUCUACUCUGUCGUGGGGGAUAACGUAGGGAAACUUACGCUAAUACCGCAUACGACCUACGGGUGAAAGCAGGGGAUCUUCGGACCUUGCGCGAUUGAAUGAGCCGAUGUCGGAUUAGCUAGUUGGUGAGGUAAUGGCUCACCAAGGCGACGAUCCGUAACUGGUCUGAGAGGAUGAUCAGUCACACUGGAACUGAGACACGGUCCAGACUCCUACGGGAGGCAGCAGCA